rnacentral:rRNA from 1 species
GAUGAACGCUAGCUACAGGCUUAACACAUGCAAGUCGAGGGGAAACGACAUCGAAAGCUUGCUUUUGAUGGGCGUCGACCGGCGCACGGGUGAGUAACGCGUAUCCAACCUGCCCAUCACUUGGGGAUAACCUUGCGAAAGUAAGACUAAUACCCAAUGAUAUCUCUAGAAGACAUCUGAAAGAGAUUAAAGAUUUAUCGGUGAUGGAUGGGGAUGCGUCUGAUUAGCUUGUUGGCGGGGUAACGGCCCACCAAGGCAACGAUCAGUAGGGGUUCUGAGAGGAAGGUCCCCCACAUUGGAACUGAGACACGGUCCAAAAUCCUACGGGAGGCAGCAGUGAGGAAUAUUGGUCAAUGGGCGAGAGCCUGAACCAGCCAAGUAGCGUGCAGGAAGACGGCCCUAUGGGUUGUAAACUGCUUUUAUAAGGGAAUAAAGUGAGAGUCGUGACUCUUUUUGUAUGUACCUUAUGAAUAAGGACCGGCUAAUUCCGUG